GUGGAGGUUGUUUUUUUCCGUUGUUUCGGUUGUUUCCGUUGUUUCCGUUGUUUCCCUUGUUUCCGUUGUUUCCGUUGUUGUUCUUGACCUGUCACGUAAUUUUCUGCCGUAUGUUUCUGUCUCUGUGGAGGUUCUUUAUGUUCUUUCCGUUCUUUCCGUUCUUUCUGUUGUUGUUCUUGACCUGUCACCUUAUUUUCUGCCGUAUGUUUCUGUCUCUGUGGAGGUUCUUUCCGUUCUUUCUGUAGUUGUUCUUGAAAUGUCCCCUAAUUUUCUGCCGUAUGUUUCUGUCUCUGUGGAGGUUCUUUAUUUCCGUUCUUUCCAUUCUUUCCGUUCUUUCCAUUGUUAUUCUUG
ensembl:lncRNA